rnacentral:rRNA from 1 species
AUGAACGCUAGCUACAGGCUUAACACAUGCAAGUCGAGGGGCAGCAUGGUCUUAGCUUGCUAAGGCCGAUGGCGACCGGCGCACGGGUGAGUAACACGUAUCCAACCUGCCGUCUACUCUUGGACAGCCUUCUGAAAGGAAGAUUAAUACAAGAUGGCAUCAUGAGUCCGCAUGUUCACAUGAUUAAAGGUAUUCCGGUAGACGAUGGGGAUGCGUUCCAUUAGAUAGUAGGCGGGGUAACGGCCCACCUAGUCUUCGAUGGAUAGGGGUUCUGAGAGGAAGGUCCCCCACAUUGGAACUGAGACACGGUCCAAACUCCUACGGGAGGCAGCAGUGAGGAAUAUUGGUCAAUGGGCGAGAGCCUGAACCAGCCAAGUAGCGUGAAGGAUGACUGCCCUAUGGGUUGUAAACUUUUUUUAUAAAGGAAUAAAGUCGGGUAUGGAUACCCGUUUGCAUGUACUUUAUGAAUAAGGAUCGGCUAACUCCGUGCCAGCAGCCGCGGUAAUACGGAGGAUCCGAGCGUUAUCCGGAUUUAUUGGGUUUAAAGGGAGCGUAGAUGGAUGUUUAAGUCAGUUGUGAAAGUUUGCGGCUCAACCGUAAAAUUGCAGUUGAUACUGGAUAUCUUGAGUGCAGUUGAGGCAGGCGGAAUUCGUGGUGUAGCGGUGAAAUGCUUAGAUAUCACGAAGAACUCCGAUUGCGAAGGCAGCCUGCUAAGCUGCAACUGACAUUGAGGCUCGAAAGUGUGGGUAUCAAACAGGAUUAGAUACCCUGGUAGUCCACACGGUAAACGAUGAAUACUCGCUGUUUGCGAUAUACAGCAAGCGGCCAAGCGAAAGCGUUAAGUAUUCCACCUGGGGAGUACGCCGGCAACGGUGAAACUCAAAGGAAUUGACGGGGGCCCGCACAAGCGGAGGAACAUGUGGUUUAAUUCGAUGAUACGCGAGGAACCUUACCCGGGCUUAAAUUGCAGAUGAAUUACGGUGAAAGCCGUAAGCCGCAAGGCAUCUGUGAAGGUGCUGCAUGGUUGUCGUCAGCUCGUGCCGUGAGGUGUCGGCUUAAGUGCCAUAACGAGCGCAACCCUUGUUGUCAGUUACUAACAGGUCAUGCUGAGGACUCUGACAAGACUGCCAUCGUAAGAUGUGAGGAAGGUGGGGAUGACGUCAAAUCAGCACGGCCCUUACGUCCGGGGCUACACACGUGUUACAAUGGGGGGUACAGAGGGCCGCUACCACGCGAGUGGAUGCCAAUCCCCAAAACCUCUCUCAGUUCGGACUGGAGUCUGCAACCCGACUCCACGAAGCUGGAUUCGCUAGUAAUCGCGCAUCAGCCACGGCGCGGUGAAUACGUUCCCGGGCCUUGUACACACCGCCCGUCAAGCCAUGGGAGCCGGGGGUACCUGAAGUGCGUAACCGCGAGGAGCGCCCUAGGGUAAAACUGGUGACUGGGGCU